AUUGGAAGGAACAAUAACUAGAAGUGUUGUGUGAUUUCUGGAGCCCAUGAUUAAAAGGUAAUCAUUUGUUUUGUAUCUAUAUCUUAAACCCAUUAUUGACGAAUUUGAAUUAUUUCUGGAAGCAUUGUAACAGACUUUGACGUUACUAAAUGUCAGUGAUGAAUUUCUAGCGAGUUUUUGCUGUAAUUCAUAUUUUGUACCAAAUAGAAAGUGGUAUAUGUUUACUUUCUUGGUCUCAAUGCCUUAAUGUUAUUUGUUGGUGAAUGAUAUAUGUUGAUGUUGUGUAAUUACAGGAAAUUUUAUUGACGUGAAUGAUUAGUCCACUUAAGUGGUAUUGCUGUUCAAAUUCAGAAAGUGCAGAAUCUGUGUUCCCAACUUACGACUAUACUUCAAUGGCAUUACUGGAAGGAGUCACACUAUGGGAUGAUUAUCACAAAUUUAUAUUUCAAGUCGGCAGAAAUCUGCUUCCUAUGCAAUGUUAGGAUAUUUAAGUUGAUUUAACAUAUUGAUAUUUUG
rnacentral:lncRNA from 1 species